AGAAUUAGAAGCUGUGUACAAUUAGAACUUCUAAGACUACUUAGUCCUAUCUUCAUUAUCGGGCCCAUCAGGCUUCAAUGUGACAGGCCUGUCCAACAGCUCUUUGAAUCGGGCCAGUUCUCGUAGGCCAAAUGAUCCCUAUCUGAGCAACAGACCUCCAUUGGAUGCAUUUGGUGCGCUUGUCACGGGCUUUGAACUGCGGUCCGUGACAUUCUCCCCCACCCAUUCUCGCAACGCCCUCGUUGCGACUUCUGAAUGGCACUGACUUGAUUCGCCUCGGUCUCGUCUCGUCGCCUUAGCCUUUCCCUUUCUUUGGGAUUCUUGCCUCGGCUUUUGUCGCUUCUUAACUCGAGCCGUCCUGCUCGUCGCAUUUACUCUGGUCAACUGUCCCAUAUGCAUCGCUUCUUUUCCUUUAAAGUCUGAUGCACCACCUACCUUUCCCAUAGGUGGAAGCCUUGUCGAUGACUCGGCUAACUCUGAUACUUCACUCAACUUGAGCCUCAUUGGUCCCAGCUUCACUGUUUUCAUCGUAACUUUAUCCGCUAAGUUAGAUGACAAACUCACCUCUUCCUUGGGUGGAAGCCCCUUCGACGACUCACCAAGCUCAGACGUUGCGUUUCUUUCGACUCCGGCUUGCUUUGGACAGUUCCGUAACUCAUGCGGACCACGGCACAAGAAGCACUUAACUUGCUUCUUUUUGAUCCUCUUUGCCCUCUUGGCUUUGGCUUUUCCCUUGCUCGAACCAAGCUUCUUGGGCUCAUUGUCUGCUCCAUCGUUCCCCUCGAUGACAGACUUCUUCGGACACUUCCGCAACCUAUGCGGACCAUGACACAAGAAGCACUCCACUGGCUUCUUCUCGCUUUCGGCCUCCUUGGCUUCGACACCCCUUGCGCUCGAACCAAGUACCAAGGCCUUACCCACCGGCUUCUCCUUAAGCGCGGAUUUCUUCGGACAUUUCUUUAACAUGUGUGGACCAUCGCAAAGAAAGCAUUUCAGCUUGUCCCUUUUCCUCUUGGGUUUCUUCUUCCCAACUCGUGGUUUCCCCUUACCACUAUUGUCGCCGUGGCCAUUGCCAUCAACAAUUUCUUCCUUGUGAUUCAUUUCACAUACGCCCCUUUCCUUGGACUUGGAAGACCCAAGCUUGUCUUUCCCUAAACCAAGCUUGCCCACGGACUCAACUACCGUAAUGGCUUCCGACAGCUUUUGGACACCUCUUUGUUCCACCUCCUGUCUGACCCACGGCUUCAAUCUCUUUUGAAAAGCAAGCAAUGCUUCUUCAUCGGUCACAUCUAAAACUUGGAGCAUUAGUUCCUUGAACUCUCGAACAUACUCCCCCACUGUGCCCCGUUGCAUUAUCUCUUGCAACUUUGCCCGAGCUUCUUCCUCGGUAAAUUCUGGGUAAAACUGUCCCUUCAACUCGCAUUGGAACUCUUGCCACGUCCCAAUCUCACCUCGCCUUUUAUCUGUGGUCCUACCUCGCCACCAUAAAAGCGCAACGUCAGUAAGAAACAUUGAAGCAGUGUUUACCUUAACCGCAUCCUCCAUGAUGCCUUUGGCACGGAAGUAGUUUUCCAUCCUCCACAAGAAAUUGUCCACAUCACAUGCAGACCUUGUCCCCACAAACUCUUUCGGCUUUGGGACAUCCUCAUUACUGAGUGCUGCAUUUGCCACUCCUUUCCCCACGACUGCUUGACACAAGGCCAGCUCUCCCUCGAGCUCCUCUAUUCUUGUGCUCAAAGCCCUCGUCGUGGCCAUUGUUUCCUCCUUCAAAGCCAUCAUCAUGGCCUCGAGAGCAUCAUUCCUUUCCGACAGCUUAUCCCUGUGUGAAUUAAACAACUUGUUUACCUUAUCCAUAGUGGAAUCAAGAGACAUCUUUACAUAGUCUCUGGACUGCUCUUCCCAGUUUGCUAUGCGAUCCUCGACCCCAUCGAGUGCCUCCUUUACAUCCGCCAUGGAUCCCUCGAGUUUACCCACACGUUCCUCUACUGCCGAUAUUGUCUCCCUCAAAGACUUCCUCGCCCACCUUUGUUCGAACUCUUCUUUCGACAUCCCAACGGUGCCUUUGAACCAACUCGAAUGCUUGGCUCAAAACUUGGCUCGGAUACCACUUGUCACGGACUUGGAGUUUUCCCACACAUCCGUGCGGCCUUAGGCAGUUUCUUGGCUUAAAAAUGCCUAAGUCAGCCUAACUUCCACCAAUAAUGGAUUCAACCGUAAAAACGCCUAAGUCAGCUCAACUCGCAACAAUAAAGGAUUCAACAGAAUUCCCUUAAAGUUUCCAUGAAGAACAACGGAAGAACGAAUUAAGAACGAUCUUUGAAAGAUGAACAAAAGCAAGAACGCUUGAGAGAAAAGUUUGAGUAAAUGCUCUCAAUUCUUAUUCACAAAGAAUAAUGAAACAAUUACAGGAGUCAGUCCAAAUGAGGGGGAGGCUCUCUAUUUAUAGUUGAGCUCCCCCAAAACCGAUGGCUACAAUUAAAAGCUGUAUUCAAUUAGGACUCUAACUUUACAGAAUUAGAAGCUGUGUACAAUUAGAACUUCUAAGACUACUUAGUCCUAUCUUCAUUAUCGGGCCCAUCAGGCUUCAAUGUGACAGGCCUGUCCAACAGCUCUUUGAAUCGGGCCAGUUCUCGUAGGCCAAAUGAUCCCCAUCUGAGCAACAGACCUCCAUUGGAUGCAUUUGGUGCGCUUGUCACGGGCUUUGAACUGC
rnacentral:lncRNA from 1 species